GGAGGUGGGACUUUGCGGAGGUGGGCCGAGGCCAAUUCCACCGGCAGGAGAACAUUGGGCGGUGUUGCGCAUGGGGCUGGAUAGGGUCCCGCUGGGGCUGAAGCCGGCACCGGCGCCAUGUGGUGAAGGCGGGGCCAGAGGUUGGCAGAUGCCACCGCCGCUCAAGGUGGAUGAGGGGCUCUCGGGACAAGGAGAUGCUGUGCUGCAGAAACUGUUUGCAGAAAAACUCGCUCGAUACACACUGCCGUUCAAGAUGGAAGAUGACCGCACAAUGAUGACAGUCCCAGAGUUACCCACCCACUGUAAUGUGAAAAUCUCAACAAUGAAGAUCCAACAGUGAAGAUGGAGUGAAGACUUAGAAGAACAUUUGGCACGCUUUUUGUGAGGGUGAAACUCCAUAUCAUCGCUAGAGUCUUCAUCAUCAUAGUCAGAAGAGUGUUGACGUGAGCUCGAAGCCUGCCCCCCUCCACUCGUCUCAACUGGACCGUCAUCUUGUUCACGCUUCACGCUGAGCUUCAGUGGAAACUGAGUGAUUUCAUCCUCCUCCUCUUCUUCUUUAAUGUUGGGCUCAUACUGCUCAGGACCAAGAUCUUCUCCAGUGACGUCUGCGAGACACAAAAUGAUGACUUAAAAUAAUUAAGAAAUUAAAGUCCUUUCUUUCAUUAGGUCACCACAUUGACAUGCAAAGUCAUGAAAUUAGUAUGCUGAGACAUUUAAAAACACAUGUUAGUUAAGAUGUAUACGUCUUCAGGAAUACUGCAGAACAAAUCAAUACUCCAGUGAAAAAGUGCCUUCAUUUUCAUAAUUAUUAUAUUAUAUUGUAAAUAAUGAGUCAUCUUUUCAUGGGCAGAAUGGACUCAUUGCAAUUUACAUCACUGAUUAUGUCUGAAAACCAUGAUUGAUUGGCACCUAAAUGUAGCAGUGGAUCUAUAUUAUGACCACGAAAUCCUUCCAGCCAUUAUCAGUUCUGCUUAUCCUCAUUACCGAUGAGCGAUAUAGAAAAUAUUUGAAAUUCACAUGUACUUCCACAGCUGUC